UGAGGAAUAUUGGUCAAUGGGCGAGAGCCUGAACCAGCCAAGUAGCGUGCAGGAUGACGGCCCUAUGGGUUGUAAACUGCUUUUAUGUGGGGAUAAAGUGCGUGACGUGUCAUGCAUUGCAGGUACCACAUGAAUAAGGACCGGCUAAUUCCGUGCCAGCAGCCGCGGUAAUACGGAAGGUCCGGGCGUUAUCCGGAUUAUUGGGUUUAAAGGGAGCGUAGGCUGUCUAUUAAGCGUGUUGUGAAAUAUACCGGCUCAACCGGUGGCUUGCAGGGCGAACUGGUCGACUUGAGUAUGCAGGAAGUAGGCGGAAUUCAUGGUGUAGCGGUGAAAUGCUUAGAUAUCAUGACGAACUCCGAUUGCGCAGGCAGCUUACUGUAGCAUAACUGACGCUGAUGCUCGAAAGUGCGGGUAUCAAACAGG
rnacentral:rRNA from 1 species